rnacentral:ncRNA from 1 species
CCGGUCCUCGGUAGUGGCCCCCGGACCCGCGGAUAUCCGCGGCGGCUCCGGGAGCUUCGAUCGAAGACCGG